rnacentral:rRNA from 1 species
UUUAUGGAGAGUUUGAUCCUGGCUCAGGAUGAACGCUGGCGGCGUGCCUAAUACAUGCAAGUCGAGCGAACGGACGAGAAGCUUGCUUCUCUGAUGUUAGCGGCGGACGGGUGAGUAACACGUGGAUAACCUACCUAUAAGACUGGGAUAACUUCGGGAAACCGGAGCUAAUACCGGAUAAUAUUUUGAACCGCAUGGUUCAAAAGUGAAAGACGGUCUUGCUGUCACUUAUAGAUGGAUCUGCGCUGCAUUAGCUAGUUGGUAAGGUAACGGCUUACCAAGGCAACGAUGCAUAGCCGACCUGAGAGGGUGAUCGGCCACACUGGAACUGAGACACGGUCCAGACUCCUACGGGAGGCAGCAGUAGGGAAUCUUCCGCAAUGGGCGAAAGCCUGACGGAGCAACGCCGCGUGAGUGAUGAAGGUCUUCGGAUCGUAAAACUCUGUUAUUAGGGAAGAACAUAUGUGUAAGUAACUGUGCACAUCUUGAC